ACGGGGGAUGCAAGCGUUGCUCGGAAUUACUGGGCGUAAAGCGAGCGUAGGUGGUUAGGUAAGCUAGAUGUGAAAUCCUGCGGCUUAACCGUAGAAGUGCAUCUGGAACUGCCUGACUAGAGUAUGGUAGAGGAGAGGGGAAUUCCCGGUGGAGCGGUGAAAUGCGUAGAUAUCGGGAGGAAUGCCAGUGGCGAAGGCGGCUUCCUGGGCCAUUUCUGACUCUGAUUCGCGAAAGCGUGGGGAGCAAACAU
rnacentral:rRNA from 1 species